ACACACAUCACCUGGGGGUCUUGUUAAAAUGCAGGUUCUGAUUCAGUAGGUUUGGGGAGGGACCUGAGAUUCUGCAUUUCUAACAAGCUCCCGGGUGCACCA
rnacentral:pre_miRNA from 1 species